rnacentral:rRNA from 1 species
AUAAUAAUUUGCCUUAUAAUUUGAGGCUAGAAUGAAUGGUUUGACGAAGGUUGAUCUGUCUCUACUCUAUUUUUUAGAAAUUAAUUUUUAAAGUGAAAAAGCUUGGAUUUUUUAAAGGGACGAGAAGACCCUAAUGAGCUUAUAAUUUUAUCUUUAUUUCUAAUAUUAGUAAAUAAAGUAUAAAUUUUAAUUGGGGUGAUUAAGGAAUAAAGUAUAAUAACUUCCUUAUAUUUAAUAUUGUUAGAUAAAGUAACCAAUAUAUUAUUGCUUAUAAUAUAGUUACCAUAGGGAUAACAGCGUAAUUUGUUUAGAGAGUUCUUAUUGAAAAACAAGAUUGCGACCUCGAUGUUGGAUUAAAGUAACCUUAAGGUGCAGAAGCUU